rnacentral:rRNA from 1 species
GACUACACGAAGCUGGAAUCGCUAGUAANCGCGAAUCAGAAUGUCGCGGUGAAUACGUUCCCGGGUCUUGUACACACCGCCCGUCACACCAUGGGAGUCGGGAAUGCCCGAAGUCAGUGACCCAACCUAUUGGAGGGAGCUGCCGAAGGCAGGUCUGAUAACUGGGGUGAAGUCGUAACAAGGUAUC